rnacentral:rRNA from 1 species
AUGGCUAACCACGACGAGUGCCUAGCCAAGACGUCGUCGAGAUGCAUCACGGAGACCUUCACCGGGACGCACGACUUCGAGGUCACCAGCUACUCGCUGCUCGAAGGCUUGGGCGUCGGGAAGUUCGUCGGCUCGAGCACGUUCAGCGUCGGCGGCUACGACUGGCAGAUCCGAUUCUACCCCGACGGAGACAGGGAGGCGAACGAAGGCGCCUACACAUCCGUCUUCCUCUUCUCCACUGAGAGGUCGGUCAAAGUGAAGUUCACUCUGAAUCUAUUUGCCAGAGAAGGCAGCAUAUCUGUACUCAGCGCGGCUAAGCCGUAUACAUUCGAGUCGGCAGGUCUUACCUAUGGGUAUACCAAGUUUGUGGAGAAGUCCAGGCUGCUACAACUCAACGACUUCACAAUAAGAUGUAAUCUCACCGUCAUCAAGGAGCCUCGCACCCACGAUGUCAGCGUGGUCGUCGUCCCGCCGUCGAACCUGCACGACCACUUCGCGAGCAUGUUGAAGUGCGGGAAAGGCGCCGACGUCAAGUUCAGCGUAGGCGGCCAGGUGUUCGACGCGCACGCGUGCGUGCUGGCCGCGCGGUCGCCGGUCUUCAUGGCCGAGCUCUUUGGUCACAUGAAGGAGAGCACCGCGCCGUGCAUCCAGGUCGACGACAUGGAGCCUUUGAUCUUCGAGGCGCUUCUCAGCUUCAUCUACACCGACACCAUGCCCGAUAAUUUGUAUGUCGGGGCCAACAUGCCAGGCCUGCUGGAUGCCGCGGAUCGCUACGGGAUGGACAGGCUGAAGGCCAUGUGCGAACAGAAGCUCUACUCGAGCAUUAGCGUGCAAACGGUUGCGGCGGCACUAGCUUUAGCAGAGCAGCACCAUUGCGUCGCACUAAAAGAUGCAUGUCUUAGGUUCCUCUCUUCACGAGACGUGCGCCGAGCUGUCAAAGCAACUCGUGGAUUCAAGAACCUCGAAACAAGCUGUCCCUCGGUUGUCAUGGAGUUUUUUGACAUGCCUGCCCCGCUGCCAUGA